rnacentral:tRNA from 1 species
GCUGAAGUGGUGGAACUGGUAGACACGCUGUCUUGAGGGGGCAGUGGGAGACCUCCUGUGCGGGUUCGAGUCCCGCCUUCAGCA